CUCCCUCUCACGUUUUCAAUGUCCUGUUUUGCUCCCCCAAACCCUUAAUUCCUUAAACACUUUCUACAGUUCUACCUCUCUUUGUACGAUUCCUUCCUCUUCGUCGUUCUCCUUCAUCCUUUUCAUCAUCAUUCUUUGGAGAUUUGCGUUUUUGAAUUGUUGAUUGGGUCUUUGAAUUGGAGAUAAGAGAAAUUGGUGAAUGGGUCUUUGAAUUGGGGAUGAGAGAAAUUGGUGAAUCGUGUUUCUGAAUUGGUGAGAAGAACCAGGUCCCUGUGAUGUUUUGUUUUCUGGUUCUUAGUUUCUGGUCCUUCCUAGAAGGUUGGAAACACAACUUGAACUUAGGUUGCACAGCUAGUGUAGGGAUUGCUGCAAAUAUGCUUAUGGCUCGUCUUGCCACCAGAACUGCUAAACCAGAUGGCCAAUGCUAAAUUUCUCCGGGGAAGGUCGAUGAGUAUCUGUUACAACUCCCUAUAAAGACACUUCCAGGUAUUGGACAUGUGUUGGAGCAAAAGUUGAAAAAGAAUGGAGUUCAGAAUUGCGGCCAGCUGCGAAUGUUUCCCAAGGUCUAAUAUUUAGUGAGAAGUUGAGAACCAUCAGUGCUAACUUUGUGAGGAUUUAUAGAGGGACUUUAAAACAAAGACCGAUGAAAUGUUGUGGAAUUACUCCAGAGGUGUUGAUAACAGGCUAGUUGGAGUCAUUCAGGUUUGGCAUAAUAUAUGACACUUGUUUGUUGCGCCUCUUUGGUUUACUUAAAAUUUUGUAUGGUGGUUGCUUAUGAGGAAUUGAGAGGUUACUUGGGAUGGAGUUACGUUUUGCAGCAAGACUAUCUACGGAAAAACUUUAGUGGUUCACAUAUUCUUUAUUCGUUCUUUAGUAUCUUUAGUGGUUCACAAUUGUAUGUAUGGACACACCAGUUCAGUGAAACUGCAUUCCAAAGUUUAACUUCCCACGCUUACUCCACCUGGUUGUCCCCCAAACAUACCAAAGUAGCUUCUCUUUAUAAUGUUUUCUGAUACAAAUUGUUGGUUGGUUUGAUUUUUUGGAUAAUGCGUCAUGUGAAGCAGUAUAAAUGACUUUACUGGUACAUUGUUGUUGUCAACUUGGAGUCAAUGGAGCAGUAUAAAUGACUUUACUGGUACAUUUUUUGGAUAAUGCGUCAUAUGAAGCAAUAUAAAUGACUUUUUGGAUAAUGCGUCAUGUGAGUCAAUGGAGGUUUUUCCAACAUUCAAAGGUGUUGAAUUCCAACAUUCAAAGGUUCUUUGGUUCAUAGUCAGUCGUUUUGGGCUUCUAAGGGAGCAGAAGCUGUUUUUUAAAAUUCACAUGUUUGGCCCAAUUUCUGCUUUUUACUCCUAGAAACUUGUCCAGAAACUAGGCCAAACAGGCACUUAGUCUUCUUUUCAGUAAAGAACUGUAACUCUGACUUCUUAUUGAUGACACACUGCAGUUUAUAUGAUUCCAGCGGAAUAUUUUGGGAAUGAGAAUUGAGAGUGCUUGUAUCCUCCUUAGUGGCCCUUUUCUUCUGUUACAAGCACUUACGAUGGUGAUAAACAUCAAAGGCAAAGCUAUCCCCUCCCUCCAUCUUUAACAUCUUUCGGGGCCCGGGCCCUCGGCCUCGGGCAUGGUUAGUGUGUAGAUAGAUCACUUGGCUGUAACAAGGCAACUCCACCUGAUUCAAAUGUCUAUUUGAUUUUGAUCUUGCAAUUUUUCCAUAGUGAAUUCUAGGUGUGUUUUAUACUCUUCACAUGUCAAGAACAAGUUUCUCCAAUAUUAGUACUGAAUUACUAUUCACUAGUACUGAUUCUUAAAGCAAUUGGAUAUGCGAUCACGUCAGGAACUACACCUUAUUGUGCAAAUAAUGCACUUUGUUGUCCCAUGCCACAUUGCACAAUCGGCAUUAAAUGAGACCUUGCUGUAAACAUUAGGAAUAUCCUUUUGAAUGUAUGGUUCAUUUGUUUGGCUUAAUAUGCUUGCCCACUGUUGAAGUGCACACAUCCUUAGGUGUCUUUCGAAUCUGUAAGUGUGUAAGUCAUACCCAAAACCAUGAUGCUUGAUACACAUUUUUUUCAUGUAUAUGUUUCACAUGUAUGAUCUUUCCUUGAAGUCUUCUAUUGAGUUUUUUUUUGAUAUUUUGUGUUGAAGCUCUUUGUCAUGUCCAAAAUGGCGCUGAAAAACUGUUAAGUUGUUAGCUUAUCUAUAGCUUCUGCAAAACAUUCAGAAUAUUUGUCACCUUAACUCCUAUAUAGCGCUGUCAUACUGGUGUAUAUUUCACCAAAGCAAUGCAGAAGCGGUUGUAACAACAUGGAAUCAACAGUUCAACAGUUCUGAAAUUGCCCAGAAAGUCCCACUUUUAUAUCUUGCCAAUGAUAUACUGCAGAACAGCAAACGUAAAGGAAAUGAGUUUGUUAUUGAGUUCUGGAAGGUACUUCCUGCGGCUCUCAAGGAUGUCAGUAACAUGGGUGAUGAGCAAGGAAAGAAGGUCGUCUCUAGACUGGUUAAAAUAUGGGAUGAAAGAAAAGUUUUGGAACCAAGGCACAGAACCUGAUGGAUAUAAUGCUUGGAGAUGAGGUUCUUCCAUGUGGGUAAAUAUUAUCCUAGGAGCUUCAGAAGAAAGAGUGAUGCUUUCUGGGAUGCAUACUGUGGCAGAUAUAUUUUGCUGCAGCUGUGGACAAUCGUUGGAUGAAAAUAUGAAUCAGCUCAUGAGAAAAGCCAGAAGUACAAAGAAGGGAAAUUUGUUCUUGAAAGGAUGGUAGAUAGAAGGAGAAUGGUAGAUAAAAGGAUGGCAGGAAAGGCAUAGAUCGAAGUUCUAAUAAAUUAAAUACUAGAUUUUUGUCAUUAUAAUGAUUUUUAUGGAUAUUUUAUUUUAUAAUAAGUAAUACUUAAUUUGAAAUAAAUGUUUCUUUUUGUCCUAGUUGGAUGUUUUAGUGUAAUAUUUUCAUUUUAAUGAGCUACUAAAUAAACGCGUAUGAAAUUGUUGCUAGAAGGUCACAUUAAAGUGCCAUAAUAGUGUAUCAAGAAACGUUGCUA